UUAUAUAGACGUAUGUAAUUGUGGGGUUCUAAGCUUUACGGGAAACCCAACCGAAAAUUUUUUAAAUAAAAAAUUUUCGGUUAGAUUUUCCGUAAAGCUUAAAACCCCGCAAUUACAUACACCUACCUAUAUAA
rnacentral:pre_miRNA from 1 species